rnacentral:lncRNA from 1 species
GCAAUUUUUCAAACACUUGGUGGGCACGAACUACAAAGUGCAUAAGAGCAAAGCGGGAUCCCCGUUUGAUGCUCAACUCUGCCACAGAACUACCGUUGAUAUGCUUGCGAUCAUAACCUUCUUCCCUUUCAAAUGCCAAUUGAGCUCUCCAAGGUGAUUCCUGUAAAACCAAAUUACGAAGAUAGAAUGAGGGGUAAAAAUGAAACCAGAGGUGAAAUCUAAUUCGAAUUUGCCUCCUCCUUCUCGGAUUUUAGGAGAAGAAAUAGAACUUCAAGAGGUUUCUGUGAGAUUGUCAAAUGACGAAACCCAACGCCUUUACAGAAAGUUCGCUGAGAAAGACUGUUUUGCC